rnacentral:tRNA from 1 species
GUCCCUGUGGCGCAACUUGGAUAGCGCGGCAGCCCCCUAAGCUGUAGGUUGCAGGUUCAAAUCCUGCCAGGGACG